AUUCCCACAGUCUAGUGGUAUGACGCAUCCUUCACAGGAGUCCAACCCUCUUCAUUGAGGUCGGAUGAGGUCCCGGGUUCGAUCCCCGGUGGAAGUA